rnacentral:rRNA from 1 species
UACGUAGGGUGCGAGCGUUAAUCGGAAUUACUGGGCGUAAAGCGUGCGCAGGCGGUUCUGAAAGUCAGCUGUGAAAGCCCCGGGCUUAACCUGGGAAUUGCGGUUGAAACUACAGGGCUAGAAUCUGGCAGAGGGGGGUGGAAUUCCACGUGUAGCAGUGAAAUGCGUAGAGAUGUGGAGGAACACCGAUGGCGAAGGCAGCCCCCUGGGUCGACACUGACGCUCACGCACAAAAGCGUGGGGAGCAAACAGG